GCUCUGACGAUGAUCCCAGCUUGCUGGGGGAUUAGUGGCGAACGGGUGAGUAACACGUGAGUAACCUGCCCUUGACUCUGGGAUAAGCCUGGGAAACUGGGUCUAAUACCGGAUAUGACCGUCUGACGCAUGUCAGGUGGUGGAAAGCUUUUGUGGUUUUGGAUGGACUCGCGGCCUAUCAGCUUGUUGGUGGGGUAAUGGCCUACCAAGGCGACGACGGGUAGCCGGCCUGAGAGGGUGACCGGCCACACUGGGACUGAGACACGGCCCAGACUCCUACGGGAGGCAGCAGUGGGGAAUAUUGCACAAUGGGCGCAAGCCUGAUGCAGCGACGCCGCGUGAGGGAUGACGGCCUUCGGGUUGUAAACCUCUUUCAGUAGGGAAGAAGCGAAAGUGACGGUACCUGCAGAAGAAGCGCCGGCUAACUACGUGCCAGCAGCCGCGGUAAUACGUAGGGCGCAAGCGUUAUCCGGAAUUAUUGGGCGUAAAGAGCUCGUAGGCGGUUUGUCGCGUCUGCUGUGAAAGACCGGGGCUCAACUCCGGUUCUGCAGUGGGUACGGGCAGACUAGAGUGCAGUAGGGGAGACUGGAAUUCCUGGUGUAGCGGUGAAAUGCGCAGAUAUCAGGAGGAACACCGAUGGCGAAGGCAGGUCUCUGGGCUGUAACUGACGCUGAGGAGCGAAAGCAUGGGGAGCGAACAGGAUUAGAUACCCUGGUAGUCCAUGCCGUAAACGUUGGGCACUAGGUGUGGGGGACAUUCCACGUUUUCCGCGCCGUAGCUAACGCAUUAAGUGCCCCGCC
rnacentral:rRNA from 1 species